CGAACGCUGGCGGCGUGCUUAACACAUGCAAGUCGAACGGAAAGGCCCUGCUUUUGUGGGGUGCUCGAGUGGCGAACGGGUGAGUAACACGUGAGUAACCUGCCCUUGACUUUGGGAUAACUUCAGGAAACUGGGGCUAAUACCGGAUAGGAGCUCCUGCUGCAUGGUGGGGGUUGGAAAGUUUCGGCGGUUGGGGAUGGACUCGCGGCUUAUCAGCUUGUUGGUGGGGUAGUGGCUUACCAAGGCUUUGACGGGUAGCCGGCCUGAGAGGGUGACCGGCCACAUUGGGACUGAGAUGCGGCCCAGACUCCUACGGGAGGCAGCAGUGGGGAAUAUUGCACAAUGGGCGGAAGCCUGAUGCAGCAACGCCGCGUGCGGGAUGACGGCCUUCGGGUUGUAAACCGCUUUCGCCUGUGACGAAGCGUGAGUGACGGUAAUGGGUAAAGAAGCACCGGCUAACUACGUG
rnacentral:rRNA from 1 species